rnacentral:rRNA from 2 species
CCGCCUGGGGAGUACGGCCGCAAGGUUAAAACUCAAAUGAAUUGACGGGGGCCCGCACAAGCGGUGGAGCAUGUGGUUUAAUUCGAUGCAACGCGAAGAACCUUACCUGGUCUUGACAUCCACAGAACUUUCCAGAGAUGGAUUGGUGCCUUCGGGAACUGUGAGACAGGUGCUGCAUGGCUGUCGUCAGCUCGUGUUGUGAAAUGUUGGGUUAAGUCCCGCAACGAGCGCAACCCUUAUCCUUUGUUGCCAGCGAUUAGGUCGGGAACUCAAAGGAGACUGCCAGUGAUAAACUGGAGGAAGGUGGGGAUGACGUCAAGUCAUCAUGGCCCUUACGACCAGGGCUACACACGUGCUACAAUGGCGCAUACAAAGAGAAGCGACCUCGCGAGAGCAAGCGGACCUCAUAAAGUGCGUCGUAGUCCGGAUUGGAGUCUGCAACUCGACUCCAUGAAGUCGGAAUCGCUAGUAAUCGUGGAUCAGAAUGCCACGGUGAAUACGUUCCCGGGCCUUGUACACACCGCCCGUCACACCAUGGGAGUGGGUUGCAAAAGAAGUAGGUAGCUUAACCUUCGGGAGGGCGCUUACCACUUUGUGAUUCAUGACUGGGGUGAAGUCGUAACAAGGUAACCGUAGGGGAACCUGCGGUUGGAUCACCUCCUUACCUUAAAGAA